CUAAGAUGGCCUCACUGAUGACAGUUGAUGCAGGCUGUUAGUGAAGCCUUUCUCUCCCUGUGGUUUCCCGGCCUCAAGAAGGCUAAGCAAGGCCUUUGUACAUGGAGGUCUCAGGGCCUGCAGGAGGGCCAAAAUGAACACUGCAAGACAUCUUGUAAUGGAGGCUUGUAGAUCACCCACCUUCACUUCUGCCACAUCUUAUCAGUCAAGCUUGGAGUGGAAGAACAGCUGGAAGUAGAAAUCUGUCAGUUCUAGGAACUGACCUCCCUCCCUCUUUCAUGGCCGCAUGACGCCCCUUCAACUCUCUCUGCCUUUCAUCGUAUCUCUGUUUUUCUCUGUCUCCUCUCUACCAACAAGAUCUUCCUAAACUUCUGUCAUCUCUGUAUAUGUAUGUGAGUGUUGCGUGUCUCCGUGUGUGCGCUGUGCAAAAUAUUCAACUCAUUUUCCCGGCAUUUGGGGAUCGGGCACCAUUCACAUCUCUGCCAAAGUGAUGCCACCCCCAAGGGCCAGGGCUCUUCCUGUUGUAGGUAGCUUUUGCUUACUUGGACUAACUUUGUAAUAAUUAUCUGAAUGGACUAUUAUUUUCUCCAUUUUACAGGUGAAGAAAUUAGGCUAGAAAGAUGUUAGUGUUGUCCCAAGUCACACACCCAAGAAAUGGCCAGACCAGGCCUGAGUCCAGUACUGUGGGGCCCCUGGAGCCCAUGCUUUUAACCCUCUCCAAUUCUCCCGCACUGCCUUGUUUUGCACAUGGGUGGUCCAUUCUUGUCCUUAAAGCUUCUCGACCGUGCAGGUUCAGCUCCCAUCCUUUUGUAAAAGGUUGCCAAUUGGGAAUUUCCCUGUUGUUUCAUAAUUUUAGUUAAAUCCUCAAAACUGAAGCUAACAAGUAGGAAGAGUCCUCAA
rnacentral:lncRNA from 1 species